rnacentral:misc_RNA from 1 species
CAGAAAUCCGAAAGACGCAUGCGUUUCCUUCUAUUAUUACUGCAAACUUCUUCAUGGCUUGAAAGGAACUUUUGAAGAAUUUGCCGAACUUUUUCUGCAGGGCAUGGGUAAAAAUAGUUUGAUCCAAUUGUGUAAUAUUAUAAUUUUGUACUUGUUGCAUUCUUCAUUUAUGUUUCAGUACCCAUGGGAUCGUUUUGGAAUCACGUGUUGAAAUUUUGGGAGCAUAGAAAUGAUGAAAAUAUACUCUUUCUCACAUACGAAGAGAUGCAGAAGGAUCAGGCUGGAGCGAUAAGGAAGACGGCAAAAUUCUUAAACAAAGUCGUAA